AUCGUCACAUCUAUGUGAACCUGAAGGUGACACUCUUGUCCUGCUACUGUCUCAGAGUUACCUGCGACUCACUCUGGAAUUGGCUUAAAUGGUAUUCUUUGCCUACCAACACCUUGGGAACUGUAGUGACCCUUUGGCAGCAUACCUGCUUUUCGUGAGGAACUGCCCCUCCUUCAUCCUAGAUUGAGUACACGAGGUCCUGGUAGAGUGACUCUAGCCUUUCUUCUCCAUGUGAUGGGCACAGUGCCCAGGUCUAGUGUGUCUGAGUCACAGUGACAGAAUCCAGGAUCAGAUCACAAUCCAGACCUCUUCCCUGAAGUACUUUGAGUCGUGGCCUGGAAGCAUCCUGAGGCAGCAGGAGUGGGAUGGGCAGCUCAGAGGUGGCUCCUCCCUACUGUCCCUGUACUGGUCUGUGGAAAUGUCUGUUAAGCAGAGGCUCUUGGAGGUUAUGGCUGUGAGUACUGGAAAGUUCUUUCUUGCCCCUAUACUCCCAGGAAGAAAGAUGACACAAAUCAAAGGUCCAGUGCUUUAUUAUUGUCACAAAACAUAGAGAGGAAGGCUCACUAUUCUUCCCCCCAUGGGAAAGCCACUGUGCGGGUGGGGUUGGCGGGAGCCUUGUUGGGUGGGACUCGGGAGGAUGGUGGAAAUCGUAAGCACUGUUGGAUUGGGGAAUUACUGAGUGUGGCCUAAGGUAAGUGUCUUAAGCUCUCUCAGCCUUGGGCUGCUUGCCUGCUACCUCACUGGGUCUGCAGUGAGAACUGGGAUUGCCCAGAGUGUCAAGAGCCCGAGAGUGGAGGGUGGUGAUGCUGUCAUCGGCAAGUCUGCCAUCCCGAGUAAGUCAGCAACGGUCUCCGAAUGUGAGCGGGAGGGGGGAGGGGUCUCUCUUCAGAAAUGUCUUCUGGAUGCUUGCUGGGAGCAUAGUAGCCCCUGGGGACUGCCUGGUCUCUGGAGACUCCAGGGCACACUGGAAACGAGGGUUGUGGGGCUAUGACACUUGCUACCUCCACCGGACUAGGGACAGUUUAAGGGUGGUUCUCAGGGACAUGGGUGUGUGCAUGAGUGCAUGUGUGUGUGCACACAGUCACUGUUUUCUGUCAUUGUCUACUCUAUGAGGCAGAGUCUUGGUAAACCAACCCUGGCUAGCCUGGCUGGCUGCAGGUCUCCAGGGGUCCUCUUGUCUUUCUCCCCACCAGCCUUAGGAUUGUAAGUGUGACCUCACAUAGGCGCUGGGCAUGUGAAAUCAGCGCUUUACACACUGAGCCGUGUCCCCAGCACCGAAGUUCUAGAACUUCCUUCACAUUUAUUUCUUUCUAUUGUGUGUGUGAGCGCGUUUGCUGCACACGGCAUACGACCCAUUUGGAGGUCAGAGGACAAGUUUCGGGAGCUCAGUGGCUUUGGGGACUUCUACUCAAGCCCUUAGAUUGGUGUCAAGUGCCUUUGCUGGUAAGCCCCAUCUCAUCCUUCCAGCCCAAGUCCUAUUUUAUAGCUGGAUUUCAUCAAGGGUUUUGACUUCCACUCCUGCCUCUGCCUCCCAAGUGUUGCAAAUAAAGGUGUGUGCUUUAUUUUUAAUUUUUAUCUAUUUAUUUAUUUUUUAGCACAGUGAGCAAAGACUUACUGAGAAAAAAACAGAACUCCCAAGAGUUGGGGCGGGAGGUGGGGGGAGCCACUUUUUCUUUUGACUCAGACAUUCAAUUCCAGGCUCAAAAUCAAUCCUGGUUCUACCUUUUGCUUUCUAGGUGGUCUGCCUAAGGAAAAGCCAACUCUAAGACAUGGACACAUCUCUGGCGAGAGAUGAAUAAGGGUUAAUUAAGCCCUGGUUGUGUACAGGGGUCACGAGUGUCCCUGCAGUGGGAAGAAACACCACCAGGGGCGCUCCAAAUAGCAUAUUUUCUACCUUGAAACCUCAUUUUCCUGUGGCUGCCCUCCAAAUUCAAUGGAGACGAACUGUUUCUUAGUUUACCUAACUGAUUUAAUAAACCUUGAAAAUAAAUUUGUGUAUUACUUUCUUAAUAAUGUGGAUAUGGGCCUGUGGGAAGGAAUGUGGAGGGUCAGAGUGGAGGGAAGGCUGUCUCGGAGUCUGGUUCAACCACUGUGACUCGAGACAAGUUUCUCAAGAGUGAAGCAGUUCUGAGGUUCCCACAUCCAACCUCCCCGGGAUGUUAGGAAAUAUGGACGCAGUGGGAAAAAAGCAACACAAAGGUCAGAAGAGGUCCCAAGACCGCUUACCUCCCUCCGAUGCACCUCCUCCUCCUCCCUUCUCCCUGGGAGGAAAUGUCAGGGUGGGAAGGAGGCAGAUCCAGCUGUUAAGCCAUGACCUCAAGAACAGUAUUUCCAGGAAUCCCCAUCUUAGCAUCCAAGGGAUUCCUGGGAAAACUGGACCGUGAGGACAAGGUGGGAGAGAGAUGCCUUCAGCAGUGCCACGCCCACCCCUAGGGACGAGCAGUUUUCCCUGCAUCCGGCGCCAGCUCUGGCAGCCAGUGUGGGGUGCUAUAUGCACCUCACUUCUCAGGAUGCAGCUCUCUACUCUGGGGAGAGCAACCAGAGCUCUGAGUGGCUUGGAAAGUACCUCCCCUGAGGUCAGGAAGCAUUUGGGACCAGUCCUCCCUGCCCCCUCCCCCUUGCCAUGGGGCCAUGAGAACUCUGGCCAGUGGUCAUGAAAUCCGUUCCCAGGCUCUAUCGACUUUCUCACUGUUGUCCUCCAGCAGGUCACUUAGACUCUGAUCUUUGCUCGAUUGUGAGGUGGCAUCAAAUAGGACCUACUGGGUGGGCGAGGAGCCAGCAUGAAGGAAGUGAGGCCACAGGACUCUUAGAAAUAUGUAUGGUCAGGGGCUGGACAGAUGGCUCAGCGAUUAAGAGUGCUGGCUGCGCUUCCAGAGGUCCUGAGUUCAAUUCCCAGCAGCCACCUGGCUCAGGACCAUUUAUAAAGGGAUCUGAUGCCCUCUUCUGGCCUGCAGGUGGACAUGUAGAAGUGUGUGGUUCUGAUGUCACUACAGCUGAGAGUAACCAGCUGUAGACCGCGUGGGGUGCGUUCUAUUUUCAUACUCUGCUCUAUGAAGUGGGUCAGCUUCCUCUGAGCAGGCUAGGGAGGUUAAAUACAAAUGGGUAGACCCCAGUGGCUCCCCUCUGUUGCCCCUUGCCUCUCUGAAGCCUCUGGGACAGGGCAGACAUUUGCGAGAUGCCAGACUGGUUGAGGCAACAGCACCAACCAGGGUUAGAGCUCAAAGAGUGAGGACAGUGACUCCAAGCCUAAUGUGUGGCACUUCUGUUGGGUUGCCAGGACCGUUCGCCUCUACCUCUAGGACUAAGGGUUGUUUGGGACUGUCUGAUCCACAGAGAUGAAGGGGUUUCAACGCAGAACCAUUUAUAGUAGAUAUUCAGUGUUGAGAAGGAUUCCGAGGGCGUGUUGGAACCCUCUCAGAAUGGAUAGAUGCCGCGGUUUGUUUGUUUGUUUGUUUGUUAGCAGUGUCUUCUCUGGGCUGAGGAAGUAAAGGCAGUGUGUUGGUGCUGGCGGCCAUUGAAUGAACCAGCGUUUACUGUUACGGAUGGCAUAAGAGUGCUCAGCCCUGGUACAGCCUGAGUCAAGGAACAUCACCACAAGUUGCUGCAGCGGACUCUAGGGACAACCGAUCGGGCCCGCUACCCCUCACCAACACUUACCAUGUCCCGGCGACGGCUGCAGAACAUCUUCUCCCUUCCUGAGCUACAGUGCUUCAUCUCAGACUCCCAACUGACCAGAGAUGCAGCACUGCACCUCAGGCUGGGAGACAGGCGCUCCGCGCUCAGGCCACGGCUUUCUUCCUGGGCAGGAGAAUGAGCAUGCGCAGUGGUCUGCCUCCUAUACUGGUCUGGACACGCCCUGGAGACCUCUGGGAAGGAAACGUCCAUCUUCGUGUCCUUUGUCUUUUAAAGUUAGCUUUCUUGAGAUGGACCCUACCCAUCUGAAGUGUGCAGUUAAUUUUUUUUUUCAGUGCUAAAGAUGGAACCCAGGGCCUUGCAGAUAGCCUCUCUGUGCCUGCUCAACUUGUGGUUCCCGUAUUUGCCCCAUCCGUCUCUGUAUGCAGUCUGGACAAAUGACAGCUACUGAGAAACCACCCCUUACUUCUUUAGAUCCAAGGACAUCUCCUUCAUGGGCGCUCCCAACCUUUGAACUCUGUUUCUUCCUAGCUCUUGGGGUACUGUUUUCAUCUGGGAGCACUUUCCUUCACUUUCCCUUCAGGAAAGGGAGUCUGCUGGCUUUCCUCUGCCCCCGAAUCAAGGCCAUGUUGAACACUGCUUAAGUAGAUCAAUCGCAACCCACAUCACCCUCUGUGGCUUUGGAGUGGUUCAUCUCU
ensembl:lncRNA